CAAGACAUGUGAUAGGUCGUAAAGAUCAAUUUAUCACUCUUAAAAGAAAGAAAUGAGUAUUGACCUUUGGCGACAAUGGCAAAGAAAAAAUCAUACAAAUUGAUAAAAUUAGCAUUACUUUUAUUUUCAUUGAAAAUGUGUUGUUAGUAGAUAGUUUAAAACAUAACUUAGCAUAAACUAACUUUGUGAUAAAAGAUUUAAAGUCACUUUUGAAUUAUCUAUGUGCAAUAUGUCUAGCCCC
rnacentral:lncRNA from 1 species